CACCGCGGUUAUACGAGAGGCCCAAGUUGAUAGAUCUCGGCGUAAAGAGUGGUUAAUAAGCCUUAAAACUAAAGCCAAACAUCUUCAAAGCUGUUAUACGCACCUGAAGACAGGAAGCCCCCCAACGAAAGUGGCUUUAAACAUUAUGACCCCACGAAAGCCAGGCCA
rnacentral:rRNA from 1 species